rnacentral:rRNA from 1 species
AUUGAACGCUGGCGGCAGGCCUAACACAUGCAAGUCGAGCGGAUGAAGGGAGCUUGCUCCUGGAUUCAGCGGCGGACGGGUGAGUAAUGCCUAGGAAUCUGCCUGGUAGUGGGGGAUAACGUCCGGAAACGGGCGCUAAUACCGCAUACGUCCUGAGGGAGAAAGUGGGGGAUCUUCGGACCUCACGCUAUCAGAUGAGCCUAGGUCGGAUUAGCUAGUUGGUGGGGUAAAGGCCUACCAAGGCGACGAUCCGUAACUGGUCUGAGAGGAUGAUCAGUCACACUGGAACUGAGACACGGUCCAGACUCCUACGGGAGGCAGCAGUGGGGAAUAUUGGACAAUGGGCGAAAGCCUGAUCCAGCAAUGCCGCGUGUGUGAAGACGAUCUUCGGAUUGUAAAGCACUUUAAGUUGGGAGGAAGGGCAGUAAGUUAAUACCUUGCUGUUUUGACGUUACCAACAGAAUAAGCACCGGCUAACUUCGUG